GAAAGGAAAAGAGAAGAGAAGAGAAGAGAUGUGAAAAGAAAAGAGAAGAUUUGAGAGAGAGAGAGAGAGAGAGAGAGAGAGAGAGAGAGAGAGAGAGAGAGAGAGAGAGAGAGAGAGAGAGAGAGAGAGAGAGAGAGAGAGAGAGAGAGAGGAGAGGAGAAAGAGAAAAGAAGAAAGGAAGGAAAGGAAAGGAAAAGAAAGGAAAAGAGAAGAGAAGAGAUGAGAAGAGAUGAGAAGAGGAGAGAGAGAGAGAGAGAGAGAGAGAGAGAGAGAGAGAGAGAGAGAGAGAGAGAGAGAGAGAGAGAAUUGACUCGACUUGACUUCGUGUGGAGAGGAAAUCAGAUCCUUCACAACAACAACAACAACAACAACAACAACAACAACAACAACAGCAGCAGCGUCUUUCGUAUCAAGGGAAGAAAAAUGAAGAAGAAGAAAAAAAUAGGUCAAGCUUUUCUUCCUGGCGUGAAUGAAUGGAUGGUGUCCUCUUUUAGUCCUCCUCCUCCUCCUCCUCCUCCUCCUCCUCUUCCAUUUGACUCUCGUGGUGGUGGCGGUGGUGGUGGUAAUGGUCGAGUUGCCCCUGUCUUUUGAAAUAUUAUAGAGGUGCGUCUUAUAUAGCGGAAAAAGAUCAUAAUAGUAGUAAUAGCAAGGUGGUAGUGCAAUGAGCUGCUCUUGUUGUUUUCGGUUUUUCAUUAUGGUAGACGAACGUUUGUGUGGUAGUAUGAUUAGCUGUCUUAAGAAGGGUGAUAAGGGAGCAACGUGUCGCGUCUUGUAAGGCAAAAAAGAAUCGUUAUAGUAGAGCCAAAGGUUAGGUUAGGUUAGGUUAGGUUAGGUUAGGUUAGGCGAUAGUGUAGCGAGAUGUUGUUUUUGGUGGUUUUGUAUAUGAACGUUUGUGUGGAAGUGUGAUUGGCCGUCUUAAGAAGGCUGAUAAGGGAGUUACGUGUCGCGUCUUGUAAGGCAAAAAAGAAUCGUUAUAGUAGAGCCAAAGGUUAGGUUAGGUUAGGUUAGGUUAGGCGAUAGUGUAGCGAGGUGUUGUUUUUGCUGGGUUUGUAUAUGAACGUUUGUGUGGAAGUAUGAUUCGCUGUCUUAAGAAGGGUGAUAAGGGAGUAACGUGUUGCGUCUUGUAAGGCAAAAAAGAAUCGUUAUAGUAGAGCUACAGGUUAGGUUAGGUUAGGUUAGGUUAGGCGAUAGUGUAGCGAGGUGUUGUUUUUGCUGGUUUUGUAUAUGAACGUUUGUGUGGAAGUAUGAUUCGCUGUCUUAAGAAGGCUGAUAAGGGAGCAACGUGUCGCGUCUUGUAAGGCAAAAAAGAAUCGUUAUAGUAGAGCCAAAGGUUAGGUUAGGUUAGGUUAGGUUAGGCGAUAGUGUAGCGAGAUGUUGUUUUUGCUGGUUUUGUAUAUGAACGUUUGUGUGGAAGUAUGAUUCGCUGUCUUAAGAAGGCUGAUAAGGGAGUAACGUGUCGCGUCUUGUAAGGCAAAAAAGAAUCGUUAUAGUAGAGCCAAAGAUUAGGUUAGGUUAGGUUAGGUUAGGUUAGGCGAUAGUGUAGCGAGGUGUUGUUUUUGCUGGUUUUGUAUAUGAACGUUUGUGUGGAAGUACGAUUCGUGGCAUUGAAGAAAGUGAUGAGAUAAGUUGAUGGCGUAGAGUGAUGAAGUGACGGCAUGAUAAACUCUCCUUUCUUUCAUUCAGCACGGUUCAUAAACUCCCAGAAUGACGCAAUAAGUGGAGUAUUAUGUGAAAGAAACAGAACGAAAGAAAAAAUGAGGAUUGAGAAUUAACGAAAACGGAAUGAACGAUGAAAAAAAGCGUGAAAAUGGUUGAAAAAGGAAAAGAAAGGGAAUGAAAAAAUGAAAACAGGAAUUAAAGAAACAGAACGAAAGGAAAAAAAUGAGGAAUGGAAAUAAAUGAAAACGGAAUGAAAUAUGAAAAAAGCGAAAAAUGGUUGAAAAAGGAAAAGAAAGGAAAUAGAAAGGAAAACAUGAAUUAAAAUGAAUGAAAAAGAAGGAAAGGGAAUGAAAGGGGAUUAGAUAUGAAAAACAGAAUGAAAGUUAAUGAAAAAAGUGAAUGAUUGACGGAAUGAAGGAUGAAAAAAGCGAAAAAUGGUUGAAAAAGGAAAAAGAAAGCGAAGAAAAAUGAAAACAAGAAUUAAAAUGAAUGAAAAAGAAGGAAAGGGAAUGAAAGUUGAAGUGAAUGAAAGGGGAUUAGAUAUGAAAAACAGAAUGAAAGUUAAUGAAAAAAGUGAAUGAUUGACGGAAUGAAAGAUGAAAAAAGCGAAAAAUGGUUGAAAAAGGAAAAGAAAGCGAAGAAAAAUGAAAACAAGAAUUAAAAUGAAUGAAAGAGGAGGUAAGGGAAUGAAUGAAGGGGGAUUAAAUAUGAAAAAAAAAGAAUGAAAGUUGAUGAAAAAAGUGAAUGAUUGAGAAAAGCGUGAGAAUGAAAAAUGAAAAGAUAAAAUAGAUGAUAUAAAAAAUUGAAUGGAUGAAAAAAAUAUAAAUAAAUGAAAAUAAUGAAAAGGAAUGAAGGAAGAACAUGAUGGAGGGAAUGAAGAAGAGUGUGAAAGGCAAUGAAAAGGAAUGAAGGAAGAAUGAAGAAAAAGGAAAUGAGAAUGAAAAUGCGAAAAAUUUGUGAAUGAAAAGUGAAAAAUAAAACGAAAAUAGAUUAAUAAAAGCUGUAAAUGAAUGAAGAAAAACGAAACAAAAAAAGGUUGAAAACUAUGAAAAAAAAAAGCAAAUUAAUGAGAAAAGUUAGCGAAUGAAAAAUGAAAAAAAACGAAAAUCGAUUAAUAAAAGCAGUAAAUUAAUGAAAAAUAAGGUUGAAAAUUAUGAAAAAAAAGCAAAUUAAUGAGAAAAGUUAGUGAAUGAAAAAUGAAAAAAACGAAAAUCGAUUAAUAAAAGCAGUAAAUUAAUGAAAAAUAAGGUUGAAAAUUAUGAAAAACUGAAUGAAGAAAGCCAUUCCAAAAAGGUGCGUGAGGCUUCGCGCAAAAACUACCCCAAUAAUUUCUUCUUUGUCUCAUCCCUGUCAAGCAAUAACGCGCAACUAAUGUGUUCGCUGUCGCCUCUUUGUCAUAAUUUGUCCACGAGGCGUCUGCAUAAAUACGCGUUACGUUGUGUUUAGACUUGUUGUGACUUGUUCUGAUUAGUAAGGCGACAGACACUCUCUCUCUCUCUCUCUCUCUCUAUCUAUCUAUCUAUCUAUCUGUCUCGGGGUUGAUGCUUUGUUGUCUUGACGUGAAAGAUGGCAAGUUUUUAUUUUUUAUUUUUUUAUUUAUUUCUGCAAUAGAUUUUUUUUGGGGGGGUUAUUCAUGGUUUCAAUAGAUUUCAAUAGAUAUCUUUGGGGGUUAUGCAUGGUUUCAAUAGAUAUCUUUGGGGGUUAUGCAUGGUUUCAAUAGAUAUCUUUGGGGGGUUAUUCAAAGUUUCAAUAGAUACUUUGGAGAUAACACAAGGCAAAAAACAAAACAAAAAAACGAAAUAAUAAAAAAAAACAGCUAAGUCCCCCUGCACACACACACACACACACACACA